AUGAAACAAGAGGGACAGCUCACAAUCAGUGAGGACAGGAUGAGGUGUAUACAUACCCCAGCUUCCUCAUCUCUCCGGUGGAACAGCCCAGAGGAAUUUACUCCAUGUUUCCACAUGUGGGUGAUCUUCAUUUCUCCUGAGUCAGAUGCAGACAGGGAGGAUGGAGACUGGGUCAUCUGGAUGUCACAUUUGGCACCUGAGGUUGGAAACAUAAAAACAAAUGUCCAAAUAAUUAAUCAUGUAGUAAGAGAACUUCCCUAAAAAGGCAGGCAAUACUGAGCUCACUGGCUUAGGUAAACUUCUAAUGUUCCCCUUCCUUACCUGAGAGCCAGAGCAGCAGGAGUCCUAGGAGCUGAGCGGGGACCCUCAUGUCCAUGCUGUGUCCUGACUGGGUCUGACUCCUGCAUGAAGCGUGCCCAGCCUAUUAAUAAGUCUUCAGGGCAGGAGGAUGUGUUCUGGGAACAUGCAAAUGAGCAGGGGACAGGGCAGGCUGGGCACAGCUGCAGGGCUGGCUCAUCUCAGUAACUCAGCACCAGCUCAGAGUCCCCAGGUGUCCCAGGUAAGACAAUGGUAGCACAAAUUUGUCUGAAGAGAUAUGUUUCUACUGGAGACUAUUUUGUUAUGAGAAACCUUUUUUCAGGUUUUUUUUUUUUGAAUAUUUGAAAUAUUCUUCAGGAACCGAUGGAGUAAUGUAUUUCAUUAGUGUGUGGGGAUUAUUUAGGAAAAUAUUCUUGUUUGUAGGAAACACGUAGUGCAACGUUAGAUGGUAGGAUUCUUAGGUCUUCAAAAGACUCUUGUAUGAUUCCAGUUAGUGAAGGGGAUAAGUGAGCUAUACUUGCAAAAUUUCUGUGAGUUUAACAUUGUUGUUUUCUAAAAACGUUAAAAAUAAAAUUUAUUGACACGAUGAUAUAUAUAUGUAUUUGUAAGUAUUAGGUUAGCGUUAUGCCAUUAUUCUUACCAGUAUAAGUUCAAGCAAUUUACUUCAGAUAUACUAAGUUGAUACCGUGUUUCCUCAAUGCAUGCAGUGCUCACAGAUCCACCAUUUCAAGAGCUACAGGUCUCUAUAAUACCCGGAGACUAAAUGGAGUGCACCUUAUUCUUGUUUUGGGCUCCUCCAUAGUCUACCCUCUUUUCUGCCGUUGAGUAUUAUUUCUCAAAGUUCUCCUCUUUUAGUGA
rnacentral:lncRNA from 1 species